rnacentral:lncRNA from 1 species
AUGCUUCUUAAUCAUCCCAGAGAUUCCUUGAAAUGUUUUCUGGAAGAAUCCAUCACAACACCCAGACUUCUCGGUUCAAGGAUGCCUGACUGCUUUCCUCUCAAGUCAGGGAAAAGGAAGACAAGUAGAACCAGGACCUCUUUUCCUUUUCAACACAACAGACCUGUCCAGGACUCUCCAGAAACCUCCUGUUGCUGCUUCACUGGCCUGAACUAUGUCACGUGGCCAGGGUGGAGGCGAACUCAGGGCUGUGAAUUUCAACAGCAACCGCCUUUCACUGAGAGCCCAACACACCACACGUUGGGGUGAGGUGUCGCUGUGCCCCUUGUAACCCCCGUGACAGCACUGUACCGAAGGGAACACGGAGACGCAGGCAGGAGCGCGAGCCUGUGUGUGAACUUAACAUGCUUCACUAGAAGAUCAAGCUGUUCUGAAAGUUGACUACCUACCUGUGUACACGGAGCGCCAGCCAAGGAUGAGCAGGAGUGGCAUACAGAUAUCCACGUGAUGUCAAAUCUUACUUCUUGCACCAGGAUUAACAUGCCAGAACACCAGUGUGGGAAGCCCCCCUGCAGAUACUUGUGCGCUCCCUACCGUCCUGCCUCUCUUCGCUCACGCGGCGUGGAGCUUCUUUCAUCAGUUGACUAGGACGGGUGGUGAGCGUUCGCCCGGGGCUGUCAGGUACCUCUGGUUUGGAAAUGGCCUCUCUCAGAACCAGGAGUGAGACCCAGAGAUGCCAUCUUCCAAGCUGGUGAUAAGGCCUUCAAGUAGCUUCCACGGCGAGAAGGCCUUCUUACGUGUGAUUUUUUCAAGCAGUAUCUGCAGAUUCUGCAGAUAAGUCGUCUCGUUUCUCUCUGCGGUGUGCCUUGUAUGGGCACCUGAUUGAAUCAUGACUGUUUGCUCCCCUUGGCUGUAAAUCAGGGCACCAAGGGCCUCUAAUCAAGUCCAGCCAUUGUCCACACAGAGCUCAUUAAUGCUCUUUUGGUUGAAACUUGAAGGAAAGAACAACCAUUAGGUAACUGCAAUGUCAAGGGAGACAUUUGUUUUGAAAAGUCUCGAAAACAGCCUUAUUAAAAAAAAAGAAAAACCAAACCUUCUAGGGCAAUUCUUUUUUGAAAAAAGUAAGUUGAGUGUCUUGGUUUAAAAAAAAGAGAGAGAGAGAGUUUCUGCCUUUCCAGUGAAGAGCAAUCUUUAAAAGUCAUCCAAAAAAAAAAAGUUGGCUCUGUUUUCCGAAUCGCUGGUUGGGAGAACAAAAGCAGCGAGGGAAAGUUUGACUUGACUUCCUCUACAAUUUGUUUAUAUCAUCGGA